GGAGUCUAGCAUGUGCGCGAAUCACUGGGAAUUACUAAACCUAAAGGUGCAAUGAAAGUGAAUCUAAGGGAAGAUGGGUGUUCGCGUUCGCGCGCCGCUCCGCACUCCCGGGGCGUCUCGCUCUCAUUGCGAGAAGAGGCGCACCAAGAGCGUACACGCUGGGACCCGAAAGAUGGUGAACUAUGCCUGGUCAGGACGAAGUCAGGGGAAACCCUGAUGGAGGUCCGUAGCGAUUCUGACGUGCAAAUCGAUCGUCGGAACUGGGUAUAGGGGCGAAAGACUAAUCGAACCAUCUAGUAGCUGGUUCCCUCCGAAGUUUCCCUCAGGAUAGCUGGCGCUCGUCGCCUACGAGUCUCAUCCGGUAAAGCGAAUGAUUAGAGGCAUUGGGGUCGAAACGGCCUCAACCUAUUCUCAAACUUUAAAUGGGUGAGAUCUCCGGCUUGCUCGAACUUAUGAAGCCGCGAGACACGGAUCAGAGUGCCAAGUGGGCCAUUUUUGGUAAGCAGAACUGGCGCUGUGGGAUGAACCAAACGCCGAGUUAAAGCGCCUAAAUCGACGCUUAUGGGAUACCAUGAAAGGCGUUGGUAACUUAAGACAGCAGGACGGUGGCCAUGGAAGUCGGAAUCCG
rnacentral:rRNA from 1 species